rnacentral:rRNA from 1 species
GAUGAACGCUGGCGGCGUGCCUAAUACAUGCAAGUCGAGCGAACGGACGAGAAGCGUGCUUCUCUGAGGUUAGCGGCGGGCGGGUGAGUAACGAGUGGAUAACCUACCUAUAAGACUGGGGUGACUCCGGGAAAACGGCGCUAAUACCGGAUCAUAUUUUGAACCGGAUGGUUCAAGAGUGAAAGACGGUGUAGCGGUCACUUAUAGAUGGAUCCGCGCUGCAUUAGCUAGUUGGUAAGGGAACGGCUUACCAAGGCAACGAUGCAUAGCCGACCUGAGAGGAUGAUCGGCCACACUGGAACGGAGACACGGUCCAGACUCCUACGGGAGGCAGCAGUAGGGAAUCUUCCGCAAUGGGCGAAAGCCUGACGCAGCAACGCCGCGUGAGUGAUGAAGGUCUUCGGUUCGUAAAGCUCUGUUAUUGGGUAAGAACAUAUGUGUGAGUAACUGUGCACCUCGUGACGUUACCUAAACAAAAAGCCCCGGCUAACUACGUG